rnacentral:rRNA from 1 species
UACGUAGGCAGCGAGCGUUGUUCGGAGUUACUGGGCGUAAAGGGUGUGUAGGCGGUUUUCUAAGUUUGGUGUGAAAUCUCCCGGCUUAACCGGGAGGGUGCGCCGAAAACUGGGAGACUAGAGUGCGGGAUGGGAGAGUAGUAAUUCCUGGUGUAGCGGUGAAAUGCGUAGAUAUCGGGAGGAACACCAGUGGCGAAGGCGGCGAUCUGGGAAGAUACUGACGCUGAGGUGCGAAAGCGUGGGGAGCAAACAGG